UUCUCCUUCAUCAUCCCACUCUUCUGCUCCUCUUCCUCCUUCAGUGCAGCCAGCCUGGCCUCCUCUUCCUCUGCUAGAAACUGGUGAAGCUUCUUAAACUGCUCCUUAAUCUGCCUCUCUGUGUGUCGGGCCUGGACCUUAAUGUAUUUUGCUGUUUGAUGAAACUUCAGUUCAUCCUUUUCACAAACCUUUAACUUCUUCUUUAAGGGCUCCAGAGUUUCCUGAAGUUCCUUCUUGUGUUGUCGUGCAGCUUCAUCUAUGGGUCUGAAUCUGUGCUUGUUGUGUUUUUCUGAGUCUCUGCAGACGACACACACUGGCUGCUGAUGGUCCAGACAGAAGAGUUUGAGUUUCUCAGAGUGCAGACUGCAGAGAGCCUCUGAAGCUCUCUGAUCUCUCUCCUACAGUCUUUACAGAAGCUGUGGCUACAUGACAGAAGAACAGGAUCUCUGAAGACCUCCUGACAGACCGGACAGCAGAGAUCCUCCUCUGAUCUGGAAGCCAUUGAGUCUGUGAGUGAAGCUGAAAACAGCAGACAGGAAGUACAGUCAGUCCUGGCUCCCCUCCCUCCUCUACGACCUUCACUGAAACUUGCUUUGAGUCGUGUUUUUGCUCAAACUCACAUUCAGUGUGUGGAGCGUCAGCAGCUUGAAGCAGCAGUGUUGGAGUUUUCCACUUUUCUCUCCUGUAGCUGGACUCACUCA